UACCGAGGUCUCAAGCGUUGUUCGGAUUCAUUGGGCGUAAAGGGUGCGUAGGUGGCGCCGUAAGUCAGGUGUGAAAUUUCGGAGCUUAACUCCGAAACUGCAUUUGAUACUGCGGUGCUUGAGGACUGGAGAGGAGACUGGAAUUUACGGUGUAGCAGUGAAAUGCGUAGAGACCGUAAGGAAGACCAGUGGCGAAGGCGGGUCUCUGGACAGUUCCUGACACUGAGGCACGAAGGCCAGGGGAGCAAACGGG
rnacentral:rRNA from 1 species